UACCAGCACCCCGAGUGGUCGGGACGUUUAUUGGGCCUAAAGCAUCCGUAGCCGGUUCUACAAGUCUUCCGUUAAAUCCAACUGCUUAACAGGGUGGGCUGCGGAAGAUACUAUAAGAGCUAGGAGGCGGGAGAGGCAAGCGGUACUCGAUGGGUAGGGGUAAAAUCCGUUGAUCCAUUGAAGACCACCAGUGGCGAAGGCGGCUUGCCAGCAACGCGCUCGGACGGUGAGGGAUGAAAGCUGGGGGAGCAAAGCCGG
rnacentral:rRNA from 1 species